rnacentral:rRNA from 1 species
AGGGUGUAAACGCUGCAGACUUGGUGUUGGGGCCCGUUUCGGGGGUCGAUUCAGUGCCGGAGAGAAGUUGUUAAGUCUGCUACUUGGGGAGGUACGUCCGCAAGGAUGAAACUUAAAGGAAUUGGCGGGGGAGGCACCGCAACGGGAGGAGCGUGCGGUUUAAUUGGAUUCAACGCCGGACAUCUCACCGGAUAAGACAGCUGAAUGAUUGUCAAUCUGAAGGUUUUACAUGACUAGCUGAGAGGUGGUGCAUGGCGUCAGUGACUGU